CAGAAGUUGUAAUAGCUUUAGGGUUUCCAAAAACAGCACCCUCACAACCCUGAAAAUUAAAUGACUCUACUUGUAUCCAAGGAAUAAUGCCUGAUUGACUAGGAAUUAAGUGAAUUAAAAAAUUGCCCAAUGUCACGAUACCUCCUCUUAAAGAUGUUAUCCUUUUUUCAGUAAAACUAAAAAUCACAAUCAAUAUUGUGCUGAUAAAUUGAAACAUACUUAUUUAAGUCCGAAAUGCUCUGAGACGAAAACUCUGCUUCAAUGUAAAACUCUGUAUCGGAUAGCUUGCAUCGAAUUGGAUGUUCGUAUCGUAUAUACUGAAGUUUAAAUAUAGUCAGAAUUGGUUCGAAAGAUAGAAGAUAAAGUAUAAUACCUCAAAUAUUUGUAAAGGCUGACAUUUAAAUACACGUAUCGGAAGGACAUCUGCGUUUUUGAUCAAAUUCA